GACUCUGGGCACCGGAGCAGAGGCACUUGGGCAACGUUACGUAGAGCCUUAAAAGCGGCCGGACGGGAGGGAAGCGCUCAGCUCGGGCGCCUGGGACUCGGGAAAUGUCGCGCAAAAGAGCUGCUGGAUCCACAAGCUUCAUUCUGAUGAUGCUUCUUCAUGCUGGCAGUGGUGGUUCUUCCCGAGAGUAGCAGCCAAACCCAGUUUGCAGUUUUUCCAGCACAGGCAGAACCAGGAUACCUACCACACACUUGACUUAAAAGAAAAUUCUAGGGGUGCCUGGUGUCGGUUAAGUGUCUGACUCAUGAG